CUUGUGCCUUCUGUCGAUUCCUCACUCACCAGCCCGAGGAAUCCUUGCACAGAAGUCAGAUCACAUUCCUUCCCUGUUGUCAAGGGAAGAAGACAAAUGGGCAUGAGAAGGAGAGGAUCAGGGGCUUGGAAGCCAAGAUUUUGCCAAUUUGACUUAUGCAACUUGGGCAAAAAAAAAAAUUGAGCCUCAGUCUUUUCAUCUGUGAAAUAGGGAUAACAAACUCUGAUACGAGGGGUCAGUAGUGACAAGGAUGUGAAAGCAGCCACGAUGGCAUGGCAGGGCCUAUCUGGAGUUUGGCCUUUGCAGGGGGGUAGAUGACACCCUUGUGUGUUCUAGGUCCUUUGAGAUACAUUAUCUCACUGAAGCCUCAGCAACUCCGCGGUGUUCCCAGAGGUGAGGAAACACACUGAGAGACAGAACACGACUUGACCAGGGCCACCCUGUGGGGCACGCUGGCACCUGCACAGCCCAGCUUCACCUGGUUCCAGCCCUGCCCGCGCUCUGCUCCCCACUUCCCGUAACCCUGGGCUGGCGUCAGCAGGCAGGCCUGCCAGGAGGCUGGAGCUGCCAACGACCUAUUUUUCUGGGCAAGAAGAGCCAUUUGGAGUUAGAGGUCUCAGCUGUGAAGCCAGAACAAUAAAAAUAAAAACAGCACGGACUCCUGGGCAGCCUGGACCAGGGAACCAACUGCCCCAAGAGUUGCUGCUCACCAGGCUGGAAGGUCCCAGGUGAUACUGACGCUACUGAUUCAGGGAUCACACUUUGAGAACCGCUGAAUAGACUGCCAUUCAAGCCAAGAUGAGAAAACUGAGGCACAGAGAACUUAAGGAGCUUGUCCAAGAGCCCACACCUUGAGAGCUCCAGAGCCAGGCUGCCAAUCCUCUUGGCUCUACCUUCAAAAUAAACCCAGAAUCCAACCACUCCUUCCCACCUGCAUCACACUCCGGUCCC
rnacentral:lncRNA from 1 species